rnacentral:rRNA from 1 species
UGAGCAAUCUGCCCUUCACAUCGGAACAACCAUUGGAAACGAUGGCUAAUACCGAAUAUGACUUCGGAUCGCAUGAUCUGAAGUGGAAAGCUCCGGCGGUGAAGGAUGAGCUCGCGGCCUAUCAGCUUGUUGGUGAGGUAAUAGCUCACCAAGGCGAUGACGGGUAGCCGGCCUGAGAGGGUGACCGGCCACACUGGGACUGAGACACGGNUCA